UGGCUGAGUCCUUUGAGGGUUAUAGACAGAGGAGUGAAGAUGGCGCUGACUGAGCUGGAGUUAGACUUUGUGCUGGUGGUGGCAGUUAUAAUGAUGUUUAUCAUUACCUGUGUGGUGAAUUACAUCUGGCAAAAAAUAAUGGAUAGGAGAAAGGAGAAGAGGAGGAGCGAGCCCGACCCAGAGAAUCCAUUCGAAAACCCGUUAUAUGUCAUCAACGAGGAUGAAAUUAUAGAAUGGAUCUCUUCGGUGGCAGGCUGAGAGGAUACAUCAUAGAAAGAAAUAGCAUCUUUCUUGUAUAUACAUACAUACCAAUAAAAAAAUA